GGUCGUUCGGUAUCUCACUUUCUUAAUUAAUUAAGAAGUUCACUUCCUAAGUUUUUCUAGGUCACACCCAUCAUUUUUCCUGGGCCAUUAACUCAGGUGGUUAGAGCGCACCCCUGAUAAGGGUGAGGUCCCUGGUUCAAGUCCAGGAUGGCCCACAUCUCUAUGUUGGGGGUAUAGCUCAGUUGGUAGAGCGCCUGCUUUGCAAGCAGGAUGUCAGCGGUUCGAGUCCGCUUACCUCCACUGAUUACCACCUCUUCCAUAAUUUUUUGUAGAAAGGAAAUCUUUUGAGUUGUGAUCAAAUUCUGAACGAAUCUAGCUUCCUAAUGAAACCAUUAAGGUGCUGGACUCAUUGAAUUAAUUUCAUUGUUUUCAGAGAACCUUGACAACUGCAUAGAUUAUUUUAAAGACAAUAAGCAUCUUUAAUGAUGCAGAUUUAUUAUUUGUGCGAAAGCAUUAAUAACAAUUCUAUUAAGCUGAUGCUUCAAUUAUGAAGUUAUU
rnacentral:tRNA from 1 species